AUAACAAUACAGGACUCUUUAGAGGCCCUGUAAUUGUAAUGAGUCCACUUGAAAUCCAUUAACUGAUCAAUUGGAGGGCAAGUCUGGUGCAGAGUGACUGACCCGUGCGUGCUACAGCUGAAA
rnacentral:rRNA from 1 species